rnacentral:snRNA from 1 species
GGAUCUGAGGGUGAUCUGGCUGUGACAUCUGUUACUAUUGAUUGGCAGGUGUGAUUUGGCUGAUCUGGCUGGCUGUCCCUUUCCUUCCUCUAGGUUGUCCCUUUCCUUCCUCACUGCCACAUGUGUGUCCCUCCCAAAGCUAUGUGCUUGGUAGAAGAGGAUGACCAUCCCCAGUAGAGGAGGACUGUUCCUCAGUGAAGGGCAUAGGAGUAGCUUUGCUCCCUCCUAGAACUGCCAAGCAGGCUCUCAGAAUGAUCAUGAAGAUGACUGAGCAACUGAAGAGACUUCACAACUGCUUCAGAGUGGCAAGGA